rnacentral:tRNA from 1 species
ACCCAGAUGGUUCAGCCCGUGGAGCGUGAGACUGUUGAUCUCAGGGUUGUAGGUUUGAGCCCCACAUUGGGUG